rnacentral:rRNA from 1 species
AGAGUUUGAUCCUGGCUCAGAUUGAACGCUGGCGGCAUGCCUUACACAUGCAAGUCGAACGGCAGCAUGAUCUAGCUUGCUAGAUUGAUGGCGAGUGGCGAACGGGUGAGUAAUACAUCGGAACGUGCCCUGUAGUGGGGGAUAACUAGUCGAAAGAUUAGCUAAUACCGCAUACGACCUGAGGGUGAAAGUGGGGGACCGCAAGGCCUCAUGCUAUAGGAGCGGCCGAUGUCUGAUUAGCUAGUUGGUGAGGUAAAGGCUCACCAAGGCGACGAUCAGUAGCUGGUCUGAGAGGACGAUCAGCCACACUGGGACUGAGACACGGCCCAGACUCCUACGGGAGGCAGCAGUGGGGAAUUUUGGACAAUGGGCGAAAGCCUGAUCCAGCAAUGCCGCGUGUGUGAAGAAGGCCUUCGGGUUGUAAAGCACUUUUGUCCGGAAAGAAAUGGCUCUGGUUAAUACCUGGGGUCGAUGACGGUACCGGAAGAAUAAGGACCGGCUAACUACGUGCCAGCAGCCGCGGUAAUACGUAGGGUCCAAGCGUUAAUCGGAAUUACUGGGCGUAAAGCGUGCGCAGGCGGUUGUGCAAGACCGAUGUGAAAUCCCCGAGCUUAACUUGGGAAUUGCAUUGGUGACUGCACGGCUAGAGUGUGUCAGAGGGGGGUAGAAUUCCACGUGUAGCAGUGAAAUGCGUAGAGAUGUGGAGGAAUACCGAUGGCGAAGGCAGCCCCCUGGGAUAACACUGACGCUCAUGCACGAAAGCGUGGGGAGCAAACAGGAUUAGGUACCCUGGUAGUCCACGCCCUAAACGAUGUCAACUAGUUGUUGGGGAUUCAUUUCCUUAGUAACGUAGCUAACGCGUGAAGUUGACCGCCUGGGGAGUACGGUCGCAAGAUUAAAACUCAAAGGAAUUGACGG